rnacentral:rRNA from 1 species
AUUGAACGCUGGCGGCAGGCCUAACACAUGCAAGUCGAACGAGUGGCGGACGGGUGAGUAAUGUCUGGGAAACUGCCCGAUGGAGGGGGAUAACUACUGGAAACGGUAGCUAAUACCGCAUACCAUCGGAUGUGCCCAGAUGGGAUUAGCUUGUAGGUGAGGUAACGGCUCACCUAGGCGACGAUCCCUAGCUGGUCUGAGCGGAUGACGAGCGACACGUGAACGGAGACAGGGUCCAGACUCCUACGGGAGGGAGCAGUGGUGAAUAUGGAACAAUGGGCUCAAGCCGGAUGUAGCCAUGGCGGGUGUAUGAAGAAGGCCUUCGGUUUGUAAAUUCCUUUCAGCGGGGAGGCGUUACCCGCAGAAGAAGCACCGUCUAACUCCGUGCCAGCAGCCGCGGUAAUAC